rnacentral:lncRNA from 10 species
ACCGCCCCCCAGCCACAAAUGUAUUAUCUUACAGUUACGGAGGUCAGAAGUCUGACGCAGGUCUUACUGGCUAAAAUCAAGGUGUUGGUAGGGCUUUGUUCCCUUCCAGAGACUCCAGGAAAGAACCUAUUUCCUUACCUUUUCCUGCUUCCAGAGGCUGCCUGCAUCUCUUGGCUCAUGGCUCCUUCCUCCAUCUUCAGAGUAAGCAAUGCUGGCUGAGUCCCUUUUGCAUAGAACCUCUCUGACCUCUUCUACCUUCUUCUUCCUUUUUUAAGGACCCUUGUAAUUACAUUGAGCCCAACCAGAUAAUCCGUUCAUUGUGCUCACAGGUUCAGAAGAGAGACAAAAGGGUUGAUAUUAUUCUGCCUGCCAAAAUGAGUCUAAACGUGUAACUCAUAGCCUGCACAAGUCACACCUCCAGUACACUAGUUUGCAAGUCCUUAUGGUCUUCAUUCAUUCAUGCGGGAGUCUGGGCUUUAGGAACCAGCCUUGGUCUGGGAGUCGUUUUCCCGCCUCCCCUACAAUGUUUAUUUUAUUUAAUGGAUGUGUUAUUUUGCCCAGAAAGCCUGCAGAAUGUCUGAAAUGAAAAAGGAUUUUGUGUCUAAACCACUGUGUGCUCCGGGAGGUGUGGGAGGUGCGGGAGGGUGUGGGGAGUGGGAUGGGGUGGAGACGGGACUGGUCCCCUCCAUUUUCCCAGCAUCUUUUCCACUCCUUCCCUGGCCAGGAUAUAACAGAUGUAUGGGGUGAGCCCUGGUAGGUUGUGGGGAUUUUCCUGACAAACUUUGUUAGCAGGGCUAUUUAAAUCAUUCUAAUUACUCCAGAAACACCCCAUUAAGUUUCCCAGUGAGGCAUGCCGAGGAAAAGGGCGAGGAGAAAUUAAGGAGAGGCUGAACGAGAAAAACUGCCACAGACCUGCCAUUCGGCUCCUGCAGCCCCAGAAUUUGUUAAAAAGAAGCAAAGACAGGAAGGCAGUGGAGCAAGGACGUGCUGCGGCGAAUACCUGCUGUCGGGGACCCACACCUGGCCUGGGAGCUGCCUUGCAAGACGACCCUAUUAUUGCACCAAGGAACUAGUGAUCUGCUUGUUGCUGCCACAGCACAUAUCAGUCUGUGUACUCUGUGAAGAGGCAUAGACCCCUGGGACAUGACCCCAUCAUAUGGGCUGGUUGGGACAGUUUCUCUGUUGCUUCCACCUCCCAGUUGGAGAGACCACACUCCAGCCUAGGUACCCCUCUACUGUUCCUCCCUCUUCCCCUGAAGAGCAACUGUGCAGCUGAGUCUGGGGCCAGAUAAAGAACAGGGGCUUCUGAUGACCAAGGAUGCCCAGCUGAAUGCUGCCCUGGCCCAGCAGCCCGUUCCUCAGAGGGCUUUGCUAAGCUUUGCUCCCUCUCACUGCACACCCUGCCUGUGGUCCUGGGGCUUCUCCCCUCUUCUCUCUCAUCCUACUGCUACUUCUCACUCCUCUAGGUCCCUGGAAAAGCCAGGUCCUUCCAGUUUGGAAUCCCAGUGUAUUCCUUCUGGCUUCCAGUCUUGACUUCACCUUUCUCACCAACAUGGAUUUGCUAGAAAAAAACUUGACAUUUCUCUGUCCCAUCUUUGCAGCCCUUGACAAAAGCCAGGCCCCUCAGCUGACUCUGAAAAUGGCUUCCUAUCCGCUGAAAUCACUUGGAUAUUUUCUAGCUUAUUAUUGAGCAAUUUAUUCUAGCAGGCUCUGUCCCCUUCCUUGCACAUGAGUUCUGCCAUCAUCUACCCUCCUGCCUCCUGUCCCUUUUCUUGCCUGGUACUGUUUCCUCUCGCCUCUCUUUUACCAAACACCAACCACUAGCUUUUCCCAGCCCUGCUCCUUUAAUCCCCUGGACAACUGGCUGAGUGUAGGAUCUUCUCCAUCACUCAGGGCUUAAACGUCAUCUCCCUUUUCAAGGUUUCCUGACCUCUUACCCUAGAUCCUCCUCUAUAAAAUGAAGUGAUGAUAACAACUUGCCUAUCCACCACAGAGGAUCAGAUAUAAUCAUACCAUGUAAGUGCUUUGCAAACCGAAAGGGCUACUCAAAUGUAAGCUGCGUUAUGUCUCCAGUUGAGGGAUUCACAAUACAAUUUGCAUUUUGAAAGCAAUCCUUAGUUAUUAAAUAUUUAAGAAAUACUUUUGGCCAGUGAUUCUCAAGCCUAGAUGAAAAAUAGUGAUUCCAUUGUUCUGGGUUGAGACUUGAGUAAAGGAUCUUUGAAAGUCCCCAGGUCCUGGUCCCGGUCCCUCUCCCUCUCCCUCUCCCCACGGUCUCCCUCUCCCUCUCUUUCCACGGUCUCCCUCUGAUGCUGAGCCGAAGCUGGACUGUACUGCCGCCAUCUCUGCUCACUGCAACCUCACUGCCUGAUUCUCCUGCCUCAACCUGCCGAGUGCCUGCGAUUGCAGGCGCGCGCCGCCAUGCCUGACUGGUUUUCGUAUUUUUUUGGUGGAGACGGGGUUUCGCUGUGUUGGCCGGGCUGGUCUCCAGCUCCUAACCGCGAGUGAUCUGCCAGCCUCGGCCUCCCAAGGUGCGGGGAUUGCAGAUGGAGUCUCGUUCACUCAGUGCUCAAUGUUGCCCAGGCUGGAGUGCAGUGGCGUGAUCUCGGCUCACUACAACCUCCACCUCCCAGCCGCCUGCCUUGGCCUCCCAAAGGGCCGAGAUUGCAGCCUCUGCCCAGCCGCCACCCCGUCUGGGAAGUGAGGAGCGUCUCUGCCUGGCCGCCCAUCGUCUGGGAUGUGAGGAGCCCCUCUGCCCGGCUGCCCAGUCUGGGAAGUGAGGAGCACCUCUUCCCGGCCGCCAUCCCGCACCUCUUCCCGGCCGCCAUCCCGUCUGGGAAGUGAGGAGCGUCUCUGUCCUGCCGCCCAUCGUCUGAGAUGUGGGGAGCGCCUCUGCCCCGCCGCCCCGUCUGGGAUGUGAGGAGCGCCUCUGCCCAUCCGCGACCCUGUCUGGGAGGUGAGGAGCGUCUCCGCCCGGGCAGCCGCCCCGUCUGAGAAGUGAGGAGCCCCUCCGCCCGGCAGCCGCCCCGUCUGAGAAGUGAGGAGCCCCUCCGCCCGGCAGCCGCCCCGUCUGGGAAGUGAGGAGCCCCUCCGCCCGGCAGCCGCCCCGUCUGGGAAGUGAGGAGCCCCUCCGCCCAGCAGCCGCCCCAUCUGGGAAGUGAGGAGCGUCUCUGCCCGGCAGCCACCCCGUCUGGGAGGUGGGGGAGCAGCCCCCGCCCGGCCAGCCGCCCCGUCCGGGAGGGAGGUGGGGGGUCAGCCCCCCCACCCGGCAGCCGCCCCAUCCGGGAGGGAGGUGGGGGGCAGCCUCCGCCCGGCCGCCGCCCCAUCCGGGAGGUGGGGGGCACCUCUGCCCGGCCGCCCCUUCUGGGAAGUGAGGAGCCCCUCUGCCCGGCCGCCACCCCGUCUGGGAGGUAUACCCAACAGCUCAUUGAGAACGGGCCAUGAUGACGAUGGCGGUUUUGUCGAAUAGAAAAGGGGGAAAUGUGGGGAAAAGAUAGAGAAAUCAGAUUGUCUCUGUGUCUGUGUAGAAAGAAGUAGACAUAGGA